rnacentral:rRNA from 1 species
UACGUAGGGUGCGAGCGUUGUCCGGAAUUAUUGGGCGUAAAGAGCUCGUAGGCGGUUUGUCGCGUCGGCCGUGAAAACUUGGGGCUCAACCCCAAGCCUGCGGUCGAUACGGGCAGGCUCGAGUUCGGUAGGGGAGACUGGAAUUCCUGGUGUAGCGGUGAAAUGCGCAGAUAUCAGGAGGAACACCGAUGGCGAAGGCAGGUCUCUGGGCCGAUACUGACGCUGAGGAGCGAAAGCGUGGGGAGCGAACAGG